rnacentral:rRNA from 1 species
GACGAACGCUGGCGGCGUGCUUAACACAUGCAAGUCGAACGGAAAGGCCCUGCUUUUGUGGGGUGCUCGAGUGGCGAACGGGUGAGUAACACGUGAGUAACAUGCACUUGACUUUGGGAUAACUUCAGGAAAAUGGGGCUAAUACCGGAUAGGAGCUCCUGAUGCAUGGUGGGGGUUGGAAAGUUUCGGCGGUUGGGGAUGGACUCGCGGCUUAUCAGCUUGUUGGUGGGGUAGUGGCUUACCAAGGCUUUGACGGGUAGCCGGCCUGAGAGGGUGACCGGCCACAUUGGGACUGCGAUACGGCCCAGACUCCUACGGGAGGCAGCAGUGGGGAAUAUUGCACAAUGGGCGGAAGCCUGAUGCAGCAACGCCGCGUGCGGGAUGACGGCCUUCGGGUUGUAAACCGCUUUCGCCUGUGACGAAGCGUGAGUGACGGUAAUGGGUAAAGAAGCACCGGCUAACUACGUG